ensembl:lncRNA
UUGUAUUCCUUUUGUCCUUUCUCAUUUGACGUAUGGCUCACUUCAUAAAAACGUUUACAUAUUGAUUUCCAAAUAGCUUCACGUGGUCCUAAAACAAUAUUGACACACCAUGUGGGUUUUUGGAAGGCUCUGUUCUGCUGCUUCUAUAAAAGAUGUUUAGGUUUUUCUUCCCCAGGAUUUUUGAAUCAAGAAAAUUCGUUGGUCAAUUAUACCCAAACACAAUGACCAUGCAAUUUCCCUUUUAAAGGCUGUGGUUGAGUCCAUUUUAAAAGGCACGGCCGUCAGUGGGUCCUCUGGGUUAAACCUCUCAGAUGAGCAUCUGUCCUCUCCAAGGUGUGAAAUCAUACUUGGCAAAAGGCAUCUCAAGCCCCAGAACCCUCAGUCAGAGCCGUCGCGUUUUUCGUCCACACACAGUAAAGAUAGCUGUGAAAACUGCAGUCUUCACCAGAUUUCUGCCGCUGAAAUCGCUGGAAGGACUAGUGGCGAGCAGAACUGAGCGAAUACACGCCUGAACUGAGACGGGGCUCAUGAACUUGGACUUGCCGCUUGUCAUGUCUUUGUGGGAGAAUCUUAAAGCUCUCAGUUGACAGCCAAGAGGAAGCAAGACGGGGACAUCCCCCGCCACCUCCCCGCCACCCCUGCAGCCAGCAGCCAGCGGCGCACCCGCAUCAUAAACCCCUCUGCUUCCACCCGCAGCCUCCGACCGUUUGCACCUACAGAUUCUGAGUCAGAUCAGCUGGUGGCUCUGCCCCAAGGCCUGCAGUGGCCUCCCGCCUCUGAGCAGAAUCUGACCUGACAUCGACACAGUCCCAUGUGACGUGGCAUUCUCUGCCAGCCUUCUGAGCCAUCUCCUGCUUCUUUGCCCCCUGCUCUCUCUGCUCCUGCUGCCCUGUCCCCACCCCAGGCUCCGCCCUGCCUCACUCCUGCACUCCUCUCUGGUCUCUGCUCAGAUGUCUUGCCUGGUCCACCCAAAAGCAGGAACCUUGCCCCACACCCUGCCCCACUUUCUACCCCAUGCAUGCAUGCGUGCUAAGUCACUUCAGUCGUGUCUGACUCUUUGCGACCCCAUGGACUGUAGCCCACCAGGCACUUCUGUCCAUGGGAUUCUCCAGGCGUGAAUACCGGGGUGGGUUGCUGUACCCUCCUCCAAGGGGGUCUUCCCGACCCAGGGAUCGAACCUGCUAUCUUAGUCUCUUGCACUGGCUGGCAGGUUCUUAACCACGAGUGCCACCUGGGAAGCCCUCUCUACUGCCAAACCUGCUUUAUUCUUCUUCAUUGCAUCUCUCACCACACGACACUUGAUAUAUUUGUUUCUUUAUCUUUUUCCCAACUAGAAUAGAAGCUCCCUGAGACCAAGGAUGCUUGCUCAGUUUACUGCUGUGGUCCAGGGCCUAGAACCUUGCCUGGAUUCUAAUUGUUUUUUUAAGUGAAUAUUGAAUGAAUCUUAAAGAACAAUGGUAUGAUUUUAUUUUAUUUUUAUACUAUUUUUGUACCAUUACCAUUUUUCCAAUUCAAUGUUCCUAUUAUUU